AGUGAACGCUGGCGGCAGGCCUAAUACAUGCAAGUCGAACGGCAGCACAGCAGAGCUUGCUCUGUGGGUGGCGAGUGGCGGACGGGUGAGGAAUACAUGGGAAUCUGCCCAGUCGUGGGGAUAACGUAGGGAAACUUACGCUAAUACCGCAUGCGCCCUUCGGGGAAGCCGGGGACCUUCGGGCCUGGCGCGAUUGGAUGAGCCAUGUCGGAUUAGCUAGUUGGCGGGGUAAUGGCCCACCAAGGCGACGAUCCGUAGCUGGUCUGAGAGGAUGAUCAGCCACACUGGAACUGAGACACGGUCCAGACUCCUACGGGAGGCAGCAGUAGGGAAUAUUGGACAAUGGGCGCAAGCCCUGAUCCAGCCAUGCCGCGUGAGUGAAGAAGGCCCUCGGGUUGUAAG
rnacentral:rRNA from 1 species